AUGGUGAAAGCUUCAGCAACAAUCAUCAUUCUUUUGAUCUUGUUCUGUUCUUUGGCUUGUGAGGCACGUGUUCGUCUCAUUAGUCCUGAUCUUCUGACUCACAAAGUCGAGAAACUUCAACAACCUGAUCUUCCGACUCACAAAGUCGAGAAACUUCAACAACAACAAAAACGUAUCUCGAAUCCUGAUCCUCGCACCAUUGAGGCACAUAUCGAACUCAUGGAGUCUUAUGAGUCUUUCUACCCACAUUCCACGAUGAUCCGUCACGUCGUGAUCUAA